CACGAAUUAAUGAUUGUUAUUGUUUACCGAGAUGAUCUAAUACGUAUUUUCGAUUCUAAAACGAUUCGAAAUCCAGACUCUUCUAUAUCGUUAAAAUAUUUGCUUUAAUAUAAAAAUCUUAAGAAUUUACCAUCACUCGUAGAACUGAAAGAUACGACAUCGAAGUUUUUAAAAUAGUCAUAUACGUUUGCAUGUUGACAACAAAGAAUUUCCCAGCUGUCAAGAGAACUGGACGUUGAGUUUUCAUAAUAAUAAAAAUAAUAUCUUUCAAUACAUUUUUCGGCAUAUUAUACCAAAUACAAAAGUAUACCGAAUUACCGAUGCCUUCAGUUUGAGUUUUCAAAUAUUCACCUACGUAACUAUAUGCGAACAAUUGUAUCAAAAGAAUGGAUAUCUCCGCAAGUAUUUUUAUCGUUAAGACGACAUUUCCAAAAGUCAAAGUGAGAAUAAGUUGAAAUCCUAGAAAUAAUUAUUUCUAUAGAUUUUAUAGAUCAAACACACUUAAAGCUUUAUCAAAUGCCAUGAAGUAAAAUAAAAAUGAUACAAAUAUUCACCAGUUGUACAUAUAAGUACACAACUUGAAAAAAGUUGUAUGACCAAAAUAAAACUAACUGUCUCGUUCAACAUUUUACUUAGAUUCAACAAGUAAAUAUGCCUUUUUGUUAAUAAAAUAAUAUGUUCCAUUGUUCUUUCGUUUGCAUCGGACAAUUUAUUAUACUUUAGUUUCAAAAUCUCCACUUGGCCGCACAAAUGAAAAACAAUACCGAAAAACAACGAAUCGCUACCUAUAUAUAAAAAAAAAAUAUUUUCAUAAAAAAAUAUUUAAUAUAAUGGAUGAUUACCUAGAUUCCCAGUACUCGUGAAUAAUAGCAUCAUGUAUUCUACGAUGAAAACCAUGAAACCCAAAUUUUCCGGCAUAUUUAUAAUCGCCAAUGCAUUUUUAGAUGGAAUAGGAUAUUUUAUUACACUUUCUUCCGUUAUAUUAAUCAAUUCUUUUUUGUCUCCAGCAAGCAUAGGCACAGUCAUGAAAAGCGUGGACGCGAUAAACGAGCAAGAUAUUAAACUGGCGCAUGCUACUCUACUCAUGUAAGCAUGUCGGCGCAUGAUCACUCGAUUUUCUUCACUGUUCAAUUCGUUGUAAUCCUUAAUCGCAGAAGAAAAAUUCGAAACGAGUCCUAUAGAACGUAUACGAAAACACAUCACCUUUGCCAUUGCUAAAAUGCCGCAAUUAAUUAAUAGAAGAGCAUCUAGGUUAUUUUCUGCGUUGCUCCUGUCCAAAUAUAAUUCCACUUGUAAAAUCACUAUCAUCAAUAACUGCAACAAAACGAUUCUUAAACACAAUUAAUCAUAACUUGUGAGACACAAUGAUACAAAGAUUUUAUACCAAAAGUGAAAUUGAAAAUAUGGUACGUGAGAUUGAAAAUAUUUCGUGCACCUGAAAAGGCCAAGUGCCUACGGGCCAUGACAGGAAUUUCAACGGAGUCAUAGCAUCGAUAGCUUGAGAAGGCUAAACUUCAAAAACAAGUUUCCCAACUUACUUAGAUAAAUUUCGACGACAAAUUACCAGUAUCAGAUUUCUCAAUAUGCAUCUCAUCAAAUUGUAAUAAAUGAAAGACAGGUUGUGCAGUUUCUUUGAUUUCCAGUAUAAGUAUUUGCAUCUAUUACGUCAAAAUCACAAUUUUUAAUGCAUUAAUGUUGU